rnacentral:rRNA from 1 species
AGAAUGAACGCUGGCGGCGUGCCUAACACAUGCAAGUCGCACGAGAAGGGGGCCUUCGGGCUCCUUGUAAAGUGGCGAACGGGUGAGUAACGCGUAGGUAACCUGUCCUCGAGUGUGGAAUAACCUGGCGAAAGCCGAGCUAAUACCGCAUGAUGUCCUCGGAUCUUCGGCUUUGAGGACCAAAGGUGGCGAGCUUCGAGCGCUGCCGCUUGAGAAGGGGCCUGCGUCCCAUUAGCUAGUUGGUGGGGUAACGGCCUACCAAGGCUACGAUGGGUAGCCGGGCUGAGAGGCUGUCCGGCCACACUGGAACUGAGACACGGUCCAGACUCCUACGGGAGGCAGCAGUGGGGAAUAUUGCGCAAUGGGGGAAACCCUGACGCAGCGACGCCGCGUGGGCGAUGAAGGCCUCGGUCGUAAAGACCUCGUCGAGCGGACGAACCGUCGCGAGCUCUAACAUAGCUCGCAUCUGACGGUACCGCUAGAGGAAGCCCGGCUAACUCCGUGCCACG